AAAAAAAAAAACAGUGACUUGGCCAAAAAAGAAAAGAAAAAACGCAGGAAGAGAGUGUAAAAAAAGAAAACACGAGGAAAGAGAUUUAUUCUAUACCUUAUGCUCACCAUUUUCCCAAAACAGAGCCCAACCCAUUUCCAGCUGAAAUUCCCGUCCGUCUUCUCUGCCAACUUACUGGUCCAAGUUCAUCUUCUCCGAUAGAUGAACUCAGUUGAUUUUCCCAUUCGACUUGUGCAUUUUUCAAUUGAAAAAACCAGUCAACUUGUGAAGAAAACUAAGAACGGGGCUUUGAAGGUGGAGAACGUUUACAUCUCCGACUUCGACAAAAUCAGCCCAAGUUCUUCUUCUCCGGCCAAUGAUUAACCAAGUGAGUAUGAUAUUGGGAAGAUAGUUGCUUCAGUUCUUGGAGUCUUCCUUCAAUCUCUUCUGCUGCUGCUUUGUCUCAUCAUUCUUCACAAUUUUCACAGGACUUAUAAAAAUCUAUCAUUAAAUUGGAGGAAGAAAAGUCCAAAAACCCCCAAAUUCAAGAGUGAUAAAAUAUCAAACCAUUUGAACGUGCAAAAAUUGAUCUAUAGGCUUUCGAUUCUCGAGAAGCAAGUCGACCCGAUUGCACAGGGUGUUCCAAAAAUCGCAUUUCUAAAGAUGGACUAAAUAUCGGGGAAGAAGAUCCCAUCAAGCUAGGCGAUCUUUGAUAAAAUAGCAAGAAAUGGUUUGAAAUUAACAGAAAAUUUAGAAUUUUAAUUAAAUGAAAGAAUGGUUGUAAGGAGUAAAC
rnacentral:lncRNA from 1 species